rnacentral:rRNA from 1 species
AUUGAACGCUGGCGGAAUGCUUUACACAUGCAAGUCGAACGGUAGAGGGGGCAACCCCUCGAGAGUGGCGAACGGGUGAGUAAUAUAUCGGAACGUGCCCAGUCGUGGGGGAUAACGUAGCGAAAGUUACGCUAAUACCGCAUACGAUCUAAGGAUGAAAGCGGGGGAUCGCAAGACCUCGCGCGAUUGGAGCGGCCGAUAUCAGAUUAGGUAGUUGGUGGGGUAAAGGCUCACCAAGCCAACGAUCUGUAGCUGGUCUGAGAGGACGACCAGCCACACUGGAACUGGGACACGGUCCAGACUCCUACGGGAGGCAGCAGUGGGGAAUUUUGGACAAUGGACGCAAGUCUGAUCCAGCCAUUCCGCGUGCAGGAUGAAGGCCCUCGGGUUGUAAACUGCUUUUGUACGGAACGAAAAGGUCUGUCUUAAUACGGGGGGCUCAUGACGGUACCGUAAGAAUAAGCACCGGCUAACUACGUGCCAGCAGCCGCCGUAA